rnacentral:rRNA from 1 species
GCAUAUCAAUAAGCGGAGGAAAAGAAACUAACAAGGAUUCCCCUAGUAACGGCGAGUGAAGAGGGAAGAGCCCAAGAUUGAAAGCUGGCGUCUUCGGCGUCCGCAUUGUAAUCUCAAGAAGUGUUUUCCGCUUCGGACCAUGCCUAAGUCCCUUGGAAAAGGGCAUCAUAGAGGGUGAGAAUCCCGUACAUGGCAUGGAGCGCCCGAGGCUUUGUGAUACGCUUUCUAAGAGUCGAGUUGUUUGGGAAUGCAGCUCAAAAUGGGUGGUAAAUGCCAUCUAAGGCUAAAUAUUGGGGAGAGACCGAUAGCGAACAAGUACAGUGAUGGAAAGAUGAAAAGAACUUUGAAAAGAGAGUUAAACAGUACGUGAAAUUGCCAAAAGGGAAGGGUAGGAGGUCAGAGAUGCGUCUUGGGAUUCAGCCUUGCAUUUUUUGUUUGGUGUUUUUCCCAAGUUUGCAGGCCAACGUCGGUUUUGGGCACUGGAGAAGGGUGGAAGGAACGUGGCACCUCUCGGGGUGUGUUAUAGCCUUCUACUGGAUACAGCGACCGAGACCGAGGACAGCAGCGUACUCGCAAGAGCGGGCCUUCGGGCACCUUUACGCUUAGGGCGUUGGCAUAAUGGCCCUCUACCACCCGUCUUGAAACACGGACCAAGGAGUCUAACAUGUAUGCGAGUCUUUGGGUGGCAAACCCAUAGGCGCAAUGAAAGUGAAUUCAGGUGGGAUCCGCAAGGUGCACCAUCGACCGAUCCUCACGUCUUUUUAAGUCGUGGAUUUGAGUAAGAGCAUACCUGUUGGGACCCGAAAGAUGGUGAACUAUGCCUGAAUAGGGUGAAGCCAGAGGAAACUCUGGUGGAGGCUCGUAGCGGUUCUGACGUGCAAAUCGAUCGUCAAAUUUGGGUAUAGGGGCGAAAGACUAAUCGAACCAUCUAGUAGCUGGUUCUGCCGA